UACGAAGGGGGCUAGCGUUGUUCGGAAUCACUGGGCGUAAAGGGCGCGUAGGCGGCUUUAUAAGUCGGGGGUGAAAGCCUGUGGCUCAACCACAGAAUUGCCUUCGAUACUGUAGAGCUUGAGACCGGAAGAGGUAAGUGGAACUGCGAGUGUAGAGGUGGAAAAUUCGUAGAUAUUCGCAAGAACACCAGUGGCGAAGGCGGCUUACUGGUCCGGUU
rnacentral:rRNA from 1 species